GACGAACGCUGGCGGCGUGCUUAACACAUGCAAGUCGAACGGAAAGGCCCUGCUUUUGUGGGGUGCUCGAGUGGCGAACGGGUGAGUAACACGUGAGUAACCUGCCCUUGACUUUGGGAUAACUUCAGGAAACUGGGGCUAAUACCGGAUAGGAGCUCCUGCUGCAUGGUGGGGGUUGGAAAGUUUCGGCGGUUGGGGAUGGACUCGCGGCCUAUCAGCUUGUUGGUGGGGUAGUGGCUUACCAAGGCUUUGACGGGUAGCCGGCCUGAGAGGGUGAACGGCCACAUUGGGACUGAGAUACGGCCCAGACUCCUACGGGAGGCAGCAGUGGGGAAUAUUGCACAAUGGGCGGAAGCCUGAUGCAGCAACGCCGCGUGCGGGAUGACGGCCUUCGGGUUGUAAACCGCUUUCGCCUGUGACGAAGCGUGAGUGACGGUAAUGGGUAAAGAAGCACCGGCUAACUACGUG
rnacentral:rRNA from 1 species